CCUACGGGAGGCAGCAGUAGGGAAUCUUCCACAAUGGGCGAAAGCCUGAUGGAGCAACGCCGCGUGGGUGAAGAAGGUCUUCGGAUCGUAAAACCCUGUUGUUAGAGAAGAAAGUGCGUGAGAGUAACUGUUCACGUUUCGACGGUAUCUAACCAGAAAGCCACGGCUAACUACGUGCCAGCAGCCGCGGUAAUACGUAGGUGGCAAGCGUUAUCCGGAUUUAUUGGGCGUAAAGGGAACGCCGGCGGUCUUUUAAGUCUGAUGUUAAAGCCUUCGGCUUAACCGGAGUAGUGCAUUGGAAACGGGGAGACUUGAGUGCAGAAGAGGAGAGUGGAACUCCAGGUGUAGCGGUGAAAUGCGUAGAUAUAUGGAAGAACACCAGUGGCGAAAGCGGCUCUCUGGUCUGUAACUGACGCUGAGGUUCGAAAGCGUGGGUAGCAAACAGGAUUAGAUACCCGAGUAGUC
rnacentral:rRNA from 1 species